rfam:Oryza glumipatula chromosome 12, whole genome shotgun sequence.
AAUAAGUACAGUUUUACACUGUUCAUGUCUAACGUUUGACCGUUCGUCUUAUUUAAAUUUUUUUUACGAUUAAUAUUUUUAUUGUUACUAGAUGAUAAAACAUGAAUAAUACUUUAUGUGUGACUAACUUUUGAAAUUUUUUUCAUAAAUGUUUCAAAUAAGACGGACGGUCAAACGUUGAACACGGAUUCCCACGGCUGCACUUAUU